rnacentral:tRNA from 1 species
GCAGUGGUGGUUUAGUGGUAGAAUUCACACCUUCCAUGCAGGAGAUCUGGGUUCCAUUCCCAGCCCAUGCA